rnacentral:rRNA from 1 species
AACGAACGCUAGCGGCAGGCCUAACACAUGCAAGUCGAGCGACACCUUCGGGUCUACUUGCUAACAGGUGCGUAACGCGUCGGAACCUGCCCUUAGGUGCGUGAUAACUCCCCGAAAGGGGGGGUAAUACCGUAUAAUGUCGGCGUACCAAAGAUUUCUCGCCUUUGGAUGGGCCCGCGUUGGAUUAGCUAGUUGGUAGGGUAAAAGCCUACCAAGGCGACGAUCCAUAGCUGGUCGGAGAGGAUGAUCAGCGACACUGGUACUGCGACACGGACCAGACUCGUACGGUAGGCAGUAGUGGGGAAUAUUGGACAAUGGGCGAAAGCCUGAUCCAGCAAUCCCGUGUGAGUGAUGAAGGUCUUAGGGUUGUAAAGCUCUUUUAACCGGGAUGAUAGUGCCAGUACCGUGAGAAUAAGCUCCGGCUAACUCCGUG